CACAGGAAUAUACUUUACAUGGUGACUAUCUCUAUUCCUCAGUACGGCAAUAACAUUAGUCAUUUCUCACCAUAGAUAAAGAAUAUAUGCCUCACUUUGCCAGAGCUGCCGAUGUGUGCAAAGUGCUGUGUGAAUAAAGCCAAUCAGGCACAACUUUGCGGGUGGAGCGAGUGGUGAGGAGAGAACUUCAAGCAAGGUCCAAUGUUAACACAAUGUCAGGCCAUAGAAGGCCAACAGAGCAACAUAGCUUUUCAAAUCAGAGUGUUCCAA